rnacentral:rRNA from 1 species
GAUGAACGCUGGCGGCGUGCCUAAUACAUGCAAGUCGAGCGAACAGACGAGUAGCUUGUUCCUCUGACGUUAGCAACGGACGGGUGAGUAACCCGUGGAUAGCCACCCUAUCAGACUGGGAUAACUUCUAGAAACCGGAGCUAAUACCGGAUAAUAUAUUCAACCGCAGGGUGCAAUAGCGAAAGACGGUCUUGCUGUCACUGCUAUAUCGUUCCGCGCCGCAUUAGCUAGUUGGUACGGUAACGGUUUACAAAGGCAAGGAGGCGUAGCCGACCUGAGAGAGUGACAGUACACGCUGGAAGAGAGACACGGGCCAGACUCCGACGGGAGGACGCAGCAGGGAACCUUCCGAAAUAGGAGAAAGGAAGACGGAGCAAUGCCGCAUGGGUGAUGAAGGCCUUGGGAUCGGAAAACACUGGUAUUAGGGAAGAACAAAUGCGUAAGUAACUGUGCACGCAUUGACGGUACCUAAUGAGAAAGCCACGGCUAACUACGUG